UACGUAGGGUGCAAGCGUUAAUCGGAAUUACUGGGCGUAAAGCGUGCGCAGGCGGUUAUGUAAGACAGGUGUGAAAUCCCUCGGCUUAACCGGGGAACUGCGUCUGAUACUGGAUGGCUUGAGUUUGGGAGAGGGAUGCGGAAUUCCAGGUGUAGCGGUGAAAUGCGUAGAUAUCUGGAGGAACACCGGUGGCGAAGGCGGCAUCCUGGACCAACACUGACGCUGAGUGAGCGAAAGCCAGGGGAGCAAACGGG
rnacentral:rRNA from 1 species